UACGUAGGGUCCGAGCGUUGUCCGGAAUUACUGGGCGUAAAGCGCGUGUAGGCGGAUGGGCAAGUCUGCUGUGAAAGCUCCUGGCUUAACCGGGAGUAGUCGGUGGAAACUGCCAAUCUGGAGGACGGUAGAGGUAGGUAGAAUUCCCGGUGUAGUGGUGAAAUGCGUAGAGAUCGGGAGGAAUACCUGUGGCGAAGGCGGCCUACUGGGCCGGACCUGACGCUGAGACGCGAAGGCGUGGGGAGCGAACGGG
rnacentral:rRNA from 1 species